GGUUUUUUGUGUUAUAUGAAAAAUCUGGCCUGCCCGCUGGUUGAAGGGCUGCAGUAUUUUGACUGUACAAAGGUAGCAUAAUCAUUAGUCUUUUAAUUGAGGACUGGUAUGAAAGGUUAAACGGAAUUUGACUGUCUCUAGAAAUUGAGGUGAAUUUAUUUUUUUGUGAAAAAACAAAAAUGUAUUAAAGGGACAAAAAGACCCUAUUAAACUUUAAUUUUUAUAUUAAUUAUAGUUAUUAAGUUUUACUGGGGCGGUAAGUUACAUAAUUUUCUUUUGAUAGAUUAUUAGAGUAAGAUCCAAAAGGUUGAUAGUAAGAAUAAGUUACUAUAGGGAUAACAGCGUAAUAUUUUCUGAAAGUUCUUAUUGACGAAAUUGUUUGCGACCUCGAUGUUGGAUUAAGAAGUCUAAUUAACGCAGGAGUUAAUUAAGAUGGUCUGUUCGACCUUUAAUUUCUU
rnacentral:rRNA from 1 species